rnacentral:rRNA from 2 species
GGCGGCGUGCCUAAUACAUGCAAGUCGAACGAACUCUGGUAUUGAUUGGUGCUUGCAUCAUGAUUUACAUUUGAGUGAGUGGCGAACUGGUGAGUAACACGUGGGAAACCUGCCCAGAAGCGGGGGAUAACACCUGGAAACAGAUGCUAAUACCGCAUAACAACUUGGACCGCAUGGUCCGAGUUUGAAAGAUGGCUUCGGCUAUCACUUUUGGAUGGUCCCGCGGCGUAUUAGCUAGAUGGUGGGGUAACGGCUCACCAUGGCAAUGAUACGUAGCCGACCUGAGAGGGUAAUCGGCCACAUUGGGACUGAGACACGGCCCAAACUCCUACGGGAGGCAGCAGUAGGGAAUCUUCCACAAUGGACGAAAGUCUGAUGGAGCAACGCCGCGUGAGUGAAGAAGGGUUUCGGCUCGUAAAACUCUGUUGUUAAAGAAGAACAUAUCUGAGAGUAACUGUUCAGGUAUUGACGGUAUUUAACCAGAAAGCCACGGCUAACUACGUGCCAGCAGCCGCGGUAAUACGUAGGUGGCAAGCGUUGUCCGGAUUUAUUGGGCGUAAAGCGAGCGCAGGCGGUUUUUUAAGUCUGAUGUGAAAGCCUUCGGCUCAACCGAAGAAGUGCAUCGGAAACUGGGAAACUUGAGUGCAGAAGAGGACAGUGGAACUCCAUGUGUAGCGGUGAAAUGCGUAGAUAUAUGGAAGAACACCAGUGGCGAAGGCGGCUGUCUGGUCUGUAACUGACGCUGAGGCUCGAAAGUAUGGGUAGCAAACAGGAUUAGAUACCCUGGUAGUCCAUACCGUAAACGAUGAAUGCUAAGUGUUGGAGGGUUUCCGCCCUUCAGUGCUGCAGCUAACGCAUUAAGCAUUCCGCCUGGGGAGUACGGCCGCAAGGCUGAAACUCAAAGGAAUUGACGGGGGCCCGCACAAGCGGUGGAGCAUGUGGUUUAAUUCGAAGCUACGCGAAGAACCUUACCAGGUCUUGACAUACUAUGCAAAUCUAAGAGAUUAGACGUUCCCUUCGGGGACAUGGAUACAGGUGGUGCAUGGUUGUCGUCAGCUCGUGUCGUGAGAUGUUGGGUUAAGUCCCGCAACGAGCGCAACCCUUAUUAUCAGUUGCCAGCAUUAAGUUGGGCACUCUGGUGAGACUGCCGGUGACAAACCGGAGGAAGGUGGGGGAUGACGUCAAAUCAUCAUGCCCCUUAUGACCUGGGCUACACACGUGCUACAAUGGAUGGUACAACGAGUUGCGAACUCGCGAGAGUAAGCUAAUCUCUUAAAGCCAUUCUCAGUUCGGAUUGUAGGCUGCAACUCGCCUACAUGAAGUCGGAAUCGCUAGUAAUCGCGGAUCAGCAUGCCGCGGUGAAUACGUUCCCGGGCCUUGUACACACCGCCCGUCACACCAUGAAAAGUUUGUAACACCCAAAGUCGGUGGGGGUAACCUUUUUAGGAACCAGCCGCCUAAGGUGGGACAG